UACGUAGGUGGCAAGCGUUGUCCGGAUUUACUGGGCGUAAAGAGCGCGCAGGCGGUCGUUUAAGUCGAAUGUGAAAGCCCCCGGCUCAACCGUGGAGGGUCAUUGGAAACUGGGGGACUUGAGUGCAGAAGAGGAGAGCGGAAUUCCACGUGUAGCGGUGAAAUGCGUAGAGAUGUGGAGGAACACCAGUGGCGAAGGCGGCUCUCUGGUCUGUAACUGACGUGAGGCGCGAAAAGCGUGGGGAGCGAACAGG
rnacentral:rRNA from 1 species